GCUGAAAUAGCUCAGUUGGACGAGCAUUAGACUGACGAUCUAAAUGUCCCUGGUUCAAUCCCGGGUUUCGGCA
rnacentral:tRNA from 1 species